rnacentral:rRNA from 1 species
GACGAACGCUGGCGGCGUGCCUAACACAUGCAAGUCGAACGGAGCUAAUUAGAGGAAGUUUUCGGAUGGAAUUUGGUUAGCUUAGUGGCGGACGGGUGAGUAACGCGUGAGGAACCUGCCUUGGAGUGGGGAAUAACACAGUGAAAAUUGUGCUAAUACCGCAUAAUGCAGCUGGGCCGCAUGGCUCUGACUGCCAAAGAUUUAUCGCUCUGAGAUGGCCUCGCGUCUGAUUAGCUAGUUGGUGGGGUAACGGCCCACCAAGGCGACGAUCAGUAGCCGGACUGAGAGGUUGGCCGGGCCACAUUGGGACUGAGACACGGGCCCAGACUCCUACGGGAGGCAGCAGUGGGGAAUAUUGGGCAAUGGGCGCAAGCCUGACCCAGCAACGCCGCGUGAAGGAAGAAGGGCUUUCGGGUGUAAACUUCUUUUCUUAGGGACGAAGCAAGUGACGGUACCUAAGGAAUAAGCCACGGCUAAACUACGUGCCAGCCGCCGCUGUAA